rnacentral:tRNA from 1 species
GCCCUCGUAGCUCAGCGGAUAGAGCAUCGGCCUCCGGAGCCGUGAGCGCAGGUUCGAUUCCUGCCGAGGGCGCCA